rnacentral:lncRNA from 1 species
UAUAAACUAAAUAAAAAUAUGUAUAUGGUAUCUAAAAUAGUAGGAAGAAAUAUAAUAAAAAAUAAUUCUAUAUUACCCUAAAUGAGAUUCAAUUAAACCAUGGAUGUAAUAAUUAAUAAAAAGAAGGAAAAAAAUCAAACUCAAUUAUAUAUUAAUUCAAUCAACUUCAUUAAUUAAAACUAUGGAUGUAAUAAUUAAUAAGUAUGAAAAAUAUAAUCAAACUCAAUUCUAUAUUACAUUAAAAUGACGAACAUAGUAUUGUAAUGGUUAUAAUAUGACCAUAAAAUUUUAUUUACAAAAAUAAUUCAUUUCUACUUACUUUAUAGAAACCUUAUUUAGCCAGCUCCUCCAAAAAAAUCAAGAGCAAAACGAUCCCCUUAGAUUUGGUAUUUUUGGAACUUUUCCCGAGCUCCUGUCGGGCAACCUCCAAAUGAAAGGUUGGCUAGGGAAGAAUACAUAAAUGCAAAGAUUUUAUCUUGGGUUCGUCCCUACUUCUUCGAAAUCAAUUUAGCAUUCUCUUUUCUUUUCAGUGUAAAAGUAAAUGUUAUUUUCUUUCUUGCUCGUAUCCACCACCACUUGGAUAAACUUCCUUCCCAAAUAUUUGUUCCCCCAUCAUCUCUUCUAGUAACAUAGGUAUACUAUAACGGUAUAAUACCCAUAUAAAGCUGCAAAGCGAAGGAGCUUAUUUUUGAGGUCUCCUCGUUUCUCCCACG